GCCGGGCGCGGUGGCGCACGCCUGUGAUCCCAGUGGCUCGGGAGGCUGAGGCAGGAGGAUCUUGAGUUCAAAGCCAGCCUCAGCAAUGUUGAGGUGCUAAGCAACUCACUGAGACCCUGUCUCUA
rnacentral:sRNA from 1 species